AAUGAACGUUGGCGGCGUGGAUUAGGCAUGCAAGUCGAACGGGCCCGCAAGGGUCAGUGGCGGAAGGGUGAGUAAGGCGACGGCAACCAACCCCGAGGAUGGGUACAGCCGCGGGAAACUGCGGGUAAUCCCCAGCGAUGCGAGGGCGUCGGCAUCGACGCUUCGCCAAAUGGAUUCGUCCGCCUGGGGACGGGCCGGCGUGGUAUUAGGUUGUUGGCGGGGUAACGGCCCACCAAGCCUGCGAUGCCUACCGGGCGUGCGAGCGUGGCCCGGCACACUGGGACUGAGACACUGCCCAGACCCCUACGGGAGGCUGCAGUCGAGAAUCUUCGGCAAUGGGCGCAAGCCUGACCGAGCGACGCCGCGUGGAGGACGAAGGCCUUCGGGUUGUAAACUCCUGUCGAGGGGGAGAAAGGCUCCGCGAGGGGCUUGAUCGAUCCCUGGAGGAAGCACGGGCUAAGUUCGUGCCAGCCGCCGCCGUAAAAC
rnacentral:rRNA from 1 species